rnacentral:sRNA from 1 species
AAUUCUAAAACAAUGAUUGAACAAGUAAUUUUGUGUCCGUAAUAUAGCCCAAAUCACAAAUAUGCCCGAAAAAGUACUUAAAGGUCAAAAUUUGGGAUCGACAAAAAGUCAAUAAAAUUGUUCCAUUGUCCUGCUUCUUUCGUCGGAGGGCUCUCUUUACGCUUUCCGAAAAGAUAUCACAUGCCAAGUUUGGCCUCACGGUAUAAAAAUUAUAGAGUCAUAAAGUUUUAACCAAAAAAAACAAUUUAAAAAAAAAGAAGGAUGAAACACGAGGACUUCCCGGGAGGUCACCCAUCCUAGUACUACUCUCGCCCAAGCACGCUUAACUAAAGGUCAAAAUUUAGAGUCGACAAAAAAUCAAUGGAUAUGUUCCAUUGUCCUGCUUCUUUCAUCAGAGGGCUCUCUUUGGGCUUUCCGAAAAGGUAUCACAUGCCAAGUUUGGCCUCACUGUUUAAAAGUUGUAGAGUCAUAAAGUUUUAACCAAUGAAAAAAAUUUUUAAAAAAAGAGGGAUGCAACACGAGGACUUCCCAGGAGGUCACCCAUCCUAAUACUACUCUCGCUCAAGCACACUUAACUGCGGAGUUCUGAUGGGAUCCGGUGUAUUAGUGCUGGUAUGAUCUCAUCUGUUAGUAUAUGCAAUGCAAUCGUAUAUAUUCUUUUU